GUGCUUGCUUCAGCAGCACAUAUACUAAAAUUGGGACAAUACAGAGAAAAUUAGCAUGGCACCUGGGCAAGAAUGAUACGCAAAUUCGUGAAGCGUUCCGUGUUUUU
rnacentral:snRNA from 1 species